CAAUAGCGUAUAUUUAAGUUGUUGCAGUUAAAAAGCUCGUAGUCGGAUUUUGGCUGAGAACGAUCGGUCCGCCGUUAGGUGUGCACUGAUUGGUCUCAGCUUCCUGGUGAGGAGGUGUGCUUCCCGGCCACUUAGUCACCGUGGUUACUUUGAAAAAAUUAGAGUGUUCAAAGCGGGCUUACGCUUGAAUAUAUUAGCAUGGAAUAACACCAUAGGACUCCUGUCCUAUUUCGUUGGUCUCGGGACGGGAGUAAUGAUUAAGAGGAACAGUUGGGGGCAUUCGUAUUUCAUUGUCAGAGGUGAAAUUCUUGGAUUUAUGAAAGACGAACUUCUGCGAAAGCAUUUGCCAAGGAUGUUUUCAUUGA
rnacentral:rRNA from 1 species